GCGGGGAUCGCCUAGUCAGGUCAAAGGCGUAGAAGCAGUAUACUGCGUAAGCUUCAGGAGCCUAUCCCGUAGGGGUUCGUGGGUUCAAAUCCCACUCCCCGCA
rnacentral:tRNA from 1 species